rnacentral:tRNA from 1 species
UCCCGUGUGGUUCAGUUGGUAGAGCAUGGUGUUUGCAACGCCAGGGUUGUGGGUUCGAUUGCCACGGGGG